rnacentral:rRNA from 1 species
CUCGUUGAACGACUGGGCGUAAGUUUCUGGUAAUUGGCUCGGCCUUACAACAACAAACAAGUUUGACCUCAAAUCAGGUAAGAUUACCCGCUGAACUUAAGCAUAUCAAUAAGCGGAGGAAAAGAAACCAACAGGGAUUGCCUUAGUAGCGGCGAGUGAAGCGGCAAUAGCUCAAAUUUGAAAUCUGGCACCUUCGGUGUCCGAGUUGUAAUUUGAAGAAGGUAUCUUUGGUUUUGGCUCUUGUCUAUGUUCCUUGGAACAGGACGUCACAGAGGGUGAGAAUCCCGUGCGAUGAGAUGCCCAAUUCCAUGUAAAGUUCCUUCGACGAGUCGAGUUGUUUGGGAAUGCAGCUCUAAGUGGGUGGUAAAUUCCAUCUAAAGCUAAAUAUUGGCGAGAGACCGAUAGCGAACAAGUACUGUGAAGGAAAGAUGAAAAGAACUUUGAAAAGAGAGUGAAAAAGUACGUGAAAUUGUUGAAAGGGAAGGGCUUGAGGUCAGACUUGGUUUUACCAGGCCAGCAUCAGUUUGGAUGGCAGGAUAAUAGCUUAGGAAUGUGGCACUGCUUCGGUAGUGUGUUAUAGCCUGGGUUGAUACUGCCUGUCUAGACUGAGGACUGCGUCUUUGACUAGGA